AUAAAUCCUUUGACGAAGAAAGUAGCCAUAAGGUCAACUGCCAAGCGAGCUAGUGUUGGUGAGAGUCUAGUCAGUUCUUAUGUGUGAAACGCCCUUCUAUGGAAAUUAUCACAAAUAUACAUGAGUAUAGAGUAUGAUAAUUGGGUACUCCCCUUACAGAGCAGAGUGGAUACAAGUUUGUUGUAUCAAUUAGAGUGGUAACGCGGUCAGUAGGUCGUCUCUUAU
rnacentral:ncRNA from 1 species